rnacentral:rRNA from 1 species
GACAGAGGGGGCAAGCGUUGCUCGGAAUCACUGGGCGUAAAGAGCGUGUAGGCGGUCCGGUAAGUCGGCUGUGAAAGUCCAGGGCUCAACCCUGGGAUGCAGGUCGAUACUGCCGGACUAGAGUUCGGAAGAGGCGAGUGGAAUUCCCGGUGUAGCGGUGAAAUGCGCAGAUAUCGGGAGGAACACCUAUGGCGAAGGCAGCACUCUGGGACGUGACUGACGCUGAGACGCGAAAGCGUGGGGAGCAAACAGG